GUUGUCAAGCCCAGUUUGAAGCAUUGAGAAAACCUCACAAACAGUGUAUUUUGUGUGUGAUCUGCACGACAUGUUUGUGUGUUUGUGUGUGUGUUACCUGCAGCACGUAGGAGAAACAGUCCGGAUACUCUUCCCUCUUCAGUUUCCGGCCGUUAAUGAAGAUCUCACCCAGCAGAGUCGCUCGGUGUCCGAUCCUCCCCGAGAUGGCGUCUAACAACGUGGUCUUUCCCGAGCCUUUACAACACAAACACACACACAAAUAAUGGAGGGUGGACCUGAGUUUCCCAGUAUGCCCAUGAUCUGCCCGCUGUCUACGUGGAAGGAGACAUCGUUUAGGAUCUGACGAGUCCAUCGCUUCCUGUAGCAGUUACCUGACUGUGUAGGAGAUGUUCCUGACGCUCAGGCUGCAGGAGGGCUCCGACCGCUCCUCUCCACUGUCCCUCCACACACUCCUCUUCUCCUCCGACACAUAACUGAAG